rfam:Pseudoalteromonas rubra strain S2471 contig0009, whole genome shotgun sequence.
UAUUGGUCCUCUCGCAACGAUAGUUCGUGAACCUGGUCAGGUCCGGAAGGAAGCAGCCACAGCGAAUGACUCGUGUGCCGGGAUGUGGCUGGUAAGA